AGUUACUAUAAAUCCCUUCAGAACAGCCACACCGCCAAACCUGCUCUCUCACGAAGGCAAAUUCCUCUGUCCACUCGUAUGUCCACUCCAAUUUCUGCACGGAUCAAAAUGGAUUACUGCACCUCAUCAGCAUGAGUCCCCAACUUUAACAAUGAUUAUAUACCUACUGAAUGACCACUUGAGUCACCAUGGCACCAGGACAAAGUCCAGUCCCGCAGGCUUAUGGUCAGCCUCCCCAGCAACAUCCUCCCCCGAUCCAUCGGCUGGCUAUGUGAUCCAUGCGGCAGCAGAUUAAAAAGCAUGGCUCUCGAUGCUCGUCUUUGUGACAUGGGACGCCCCAGACGGCAGCACCAGACAGAGGACAACAUCUAAAUGCAUUCAUGAACAUCGUCCUCCCCUGUAAAUCCCCUC